GACGAGCCACACAAACGUUAUUCGGAAUUACUGGGCUUAAAGGGUGCGUAGGCUGCGCGAAAAGUUGGGUGUGAAAUACCUCGGCUCAACCGAGGAACUGCGCCCAAAACUAUCGUGCUCGAGGAAGAUAGAGGUGAGCGGAACUUACGGUGGAGCGGUGAAAUGCGUUGAUAUCGUAAGGAACACCCGUGGCGAAAGCGGCUCACUGGGUCUUAUCUGACGCUGAUGCACGAAAGCUAGGGGAGCAAACGGG
rnacentral:rRNA from 1 species